GACGAACGCUGGCGGCGUGCCUAAUACAUGCAAGUUGAGCGAUGAAGAUUGGUGCUUGCACCAAUUUGAAGAGCAGCGAACGGGUGAGUAACGCGUGGGGAAUCUGCCUUUGAGCGGGGGACAACAUUUGGAAACGAAUGCUAAUACCGCAUAACAACUUUAAACAUAAGUUUUAAGUUUGAAAGAUGCAAUUGCAUCACUCAAAGAUGAUCCCGCGUUGUAUUAGCUAGUUGGUGAGGUAAAGGCUCACCAAGGCGAUGAUACAUAGCCGACCUGAGAGGGUGAUCGGCCACAUUGGGACUGAGACACGGCCCAAACUCCUACGGGAGGCAGCAGUAGGGAAUCUUCGGCAAUGGACGAAAGUCUGACCGAGCAACGCCGCGUAAGUGAAGAAGGUUUUCGGAUCGUAAAACUCUGUUGGUAGAGAAGAACGUUGGUGAGAGUGGAAAGCUCAUCAAGUGACGGUAACUACCCAGAAAGGGACGGCUAACUACGUG
rnacentral:rRNA from 1 species